rnacentral:rRNA from 1 species
UACGGGGGGGGCAAGCGUUGUUCGGAAUUACUGGGCGUAAAGGGCUCGUAGGUGGCCAACUAAGUCAUACGUGAAAUCCCUCAGCUUAACUGGGGAACUGCGCCUGAUACUGGUUGGCUUGAGUUUGGGAGAGGGACGCGGAAUUCCAGGUGUAGCGGUGAAAUGCGUAGAUAUCAGGAGGAACACCGGUGGCGAAGGCGGGUCUCUGGGCCGAUACUGACGCUGGAGGAGCGAAAGCGUGGGGAGCGAACAGG